CCUGGCUCAGGAUGAACGCUGGCGGCGUGCUUAACACAUGCAAGUCGAGCGAAGCACUGAUGAUAGAUUCUUCGGAUGAAUUCAUUUGUGACUGAGCGGGAGACGGGUGAGUACCGCGUGGCUAACCUGCCUCAUACGGCUUGAUAACAAUUGAAAACGACUGCAUAGUACCGCAUCUUCGCCCUGUACCGCCUGUUACAGAGUGACAAACUCCGGUGGUAUGACAUGCACCCGCGUCUGAGUAGCUAGAUGGUGCCGUGACGGCCUACCUGGGCGACGAUCCUGAGACGACCUGACAGGGUGACCGGCCUCAUUGGGACUGAGACCCCCUCCAGACUCCUACGGUAGGCAGCAUUGGGCAAUAUUGCACAAUGUGAGACACCCUGAUGCAGCGACGCCGCGCGAGUGAAUAAGUAGUUCGGUAUGUAUAGCUCUAUCAGCAGGGAAGAACAUGACGGUACCUGACUAAGAAGCCCCGGCUAACUACGUGCCAGCUGCCGCGGUAAUACGUAGGGGGCAAGCGUUAUCCGGAUUUACUGCGUGUAAAGGGAGCGUAGACGGCGAGACAAGUCUGACGUGAAAGCCCGGGGCUCAACCCCGGGACUGCUUUGGAAACUGCCUUGCUAGAGUGCUGCACAGGUAAGUGAAAUUCCUAGUGUAGCGGUGAAAUGCGUAGAUAUUAGGAGGACACCAGUGGCGAUGGCAACUUACUGGACAGUAACUGACGUUGAGGCUCGAAUGCGUGGCGAGCAUACAGGAUUAGAUACCAUGGUAGUCCACGCCGUAAACGAUGAAUGCUAGGUGUUGGGGAGCAAAGCUCUUCGGUGCCGCAGCAAACGCACUAAGCAUUCCACCUGGGGAGUACGUUCGCAAGAAUGAAACUCUAAGGAAUUGACGGGGAGCCGCACAAGCGGUGGAACACGUGGUGUAAUUCGAAGCAACGCGAAAAACCUUAACAAGUCGUGACAUCCCGAUGAAAAGUCCUUAACCGGACUCCCUCUUCGGAGCAUCGGUGACAGGUGGGGCAUGGUUGUCCUCAGCUCGGUCGAGAGAUGUUGGGUUAAGUCCCGCAGCGAGCGCACCCCUUAUCUUCAGUAGCCCGCAGUAAGAUGGGCACUCUGUGGAGACUGCCAUGGAUAGCCUGGAGGAAGGUGGGGAUGACGUCAAAUCAUCACGCCCCUUAUGAUCGGGGCUACACACGUGCUACAAUGGCGUAUACAAAGAGAAGCGACCCGGCGAGGGGGAGCAAAUCUCAAAAACAUCGUCUCAGUUGGGAUGGCAGGCCGCAACUGGCUUGCAGGAAGCGGGAAUCGUUAGUAUUCGCGGAUCAGAAUGCCGCGGUGAAUACGUUCCCGGGUCUUGUACACACCGCC
rnacentral:rRNA from 1 species